AGAAUUCACCAGAAUGAAGCUGUAGCUGAACCAGAGCUAUGCACACAAAUACUGAAGGAAGAGAUAAUUUUCUACCAAGAAUUGAAAGAGAAAUUGUUCUUAUAUAAUAAUGGGGGUAUAACCAUUAGUAAUUAUUUACCAGAAUGAAGCACAAAGAAAAAGAAUAAUGAAACUAGGAGAAAAUGUGGUGGUUUUAGAUGUUACAUAUAAAGGUUUUUCCUGGGCAUGAAAUACCAUUUCCUUGGUGGGUAUGCCAAUA